rnacentral:lncRNA from 1 species
AAAAAAAAAGGAAAGAAAAGAAAAGAAACCCUAAAUCCCCACCCAGCUGCCGCCUCUAUUUUCCUCUUCCUCAACAUCAAUUCAAUCAUUCAUCAUCCACCAUCGUCAAUUCAUCAUCAACAACAAUAACAAUUAAUAUCAUCCUCAACAUCAAUUUAAAUCAUUGUCAAUUCAUCAUCGAUCAUCAUCAAAAGCAACAAACAAUCUUUGGCACCGUCAAAUUCAACCUUAUCUCUCAUCUCUCAUCAAAUUCAACCUUAUCUCUCAUCUCUCAUCAAAUUCGAUCUCAUCUCUCUCUUGUUUGUGGAUGCUGGAUCUCAAACCUUACUCACUGCUCUCAUGGCUGCCGCCUCCUGGACUCGCCGGUGCCUCAACCGACACCUCAAAGCAACUGCUAAUCCACUCUUGCCGGGAUUUUUGUCCAUGUUUUGUUUGAUGUCAGGAUCUCUCUUCUCUUGUUUGGCAUCUUGAGUUGGUGUCUUUGGCUUUCUUUUCUUUUGAUUGAUUGAAUUGAUUUAUUUAAUUUUUUUGUUGUUAUGAACAGCCAAAUGCAACAUUUUAACACAUAAUAUGGAUGUAAUUGAAAAUUUUAUUAUUGAAGUAGGCAAAUUUAGUUCAGAUCCCAUGAAUUUGUUCUUCUUUUUUAUUGUUUCUGCAAAUUCUAGAGAGUCAAAAAGGGGCAUGCACAGAGGCUUCAUUGUUCUCCAUCCAACUUUCUGGGUUGAACCCGUA